AAGGUCACCAUGACAACAUGUUUUUAUAUUUGAGGAGUGUCUAUUGUGUUCUUCCUGGGAUUGGUGGAUUGGUUAAAUGACGGUGCAAAUGUGCUGGAAAGGUCAGUGAAAAAAACUCUAAAACAUGACUCUUUUAGAGAUGGGCUAUAAAUGAACACAAAAUAGGACAGGAUGUUAUUUCUCUGGCCACGUAUCGUAAGUGCGGAUGUCCUAUUAAUUGCUUUAUUAAAUUUGCUGCCUUUUCAUGCUGUUUUGGACUGAAAGGAGAACACGAAGGAUUAUUAAAAUUAGAUGGCAAAAGUGGAAACCGCAGACGGCUGUCAAAACAACAGGAAACCAAUAUCCGCCAAAGCGCAACAAAAAGAUUGGUGAUUCUUGAGUCUUUGCCUGUACGCAAUGGUCUCCAUGUAAGAGACAUACCAUGGGCUGAUCUUCAUGAGAGGGAUGGGAGCGCAGGUGAAGAACACGGUGAGCAGCAGGAAGGACUUCCGGCCCC